rnacentral:rRNA from 1 species
GACGAACGCUUUCGGCUUUCUUCCCACCUUCCCUUCGAACUUCAAGGCUCCAGCUUGCUUUCGUACUCGAGUGGCGAACGGGUGAGUAACACGUGGGUAAUCUUCCAUGCACUCUGGGAUAAGCCUGGGAAACUGGGUCUAAUACUGGAUAUGACCUUUCUCCUUAUGGGGUUUGGUGGAAAGUUUUUCGGUGUAGGAUGAGCCCGCGGCCUAUCAGCUUGUUGGUGGGGUGAUGGCCUACCAAGGCGACGCCUGGUCGCCGGCCUGAGAGGGUGAUCGGCCACAUUGGGACUGAGAUACGGCCCAGACUCCUACGGGAGGAAGCAGUGGGGAAUAUUGCACAAUGGGCGGAAGCCUGAUGCAGCGACGCCGCGUGAGGGAGGAAGGAAGGCGGGUUGUAAACCUCUUUCAGCAGGGACGAAGCGUAAGUGACGGUACCUGCAGAAGAAGCAAAGGAGAAAUAUGGG